GCAAGGGUUCUCCCUAUGGCACAGCUGAUGAACAAGGUCACUAGAUUAUCUUGAAGAUUAACAAGCUCAACCACUGUCUCCAGCUCUCUUGAAUAAAAGCAUACUGUUACUAGACAUAUUUACAAGUGUUUGCCAGCCUUUAAAUAUUUUCAGAUAUUCAGGUCUAUGAAAAUUGGCCUGAAAAAACAGUCUGAAAUUUACAAAGAUUAUGACAGACCUGGUAUCUGAGGCUUGUCUGCAAGUGAAAGCCUUUCGAGAAGACCACCUUCAGAGGUCUACUAACAUAAAAGGGUCUUGUUACUCAAAUGUGGCCCCUGGAUCAUCACUAUCCACCUUUCCUGGAAGCUUGUCAGAAGCAUAGAAUCUCAGACUCCACCCCCAGACUU